UGUCAGAGAGGGUAUGUCUUCCUUGAGUGU
rnacentral:piRNA from 1 species